GGCUUUUUAUACCCACUGUUUUGGAAGCAUUCAUAGUACCAGUUAAGGCAAAACCAUCUUAAUGUUUGUUUUAGUGCUUGGCAACAAAUACAGUCUAUAAAAUAUGUAGUAGUUAAUAUUAAAAGCACAUGCCAGAUUGUAACAUAAAGAGUUUAUUCAGUCUCUUUAAAGUCAUCAAUUUGAAGCUUCAUCUGAAUGAGUUAGCAUAUGAGUUCCAUGAUUUUCAGCAGGUGAGAUCUUGUGAAGUUAGGAAUUGGCUACCCCUGCGAGCCCCCACUGGCACAGCCCCCAGUUUCUUAAUGAGCUUGCCUCAUUGCUGAGUGAGCGAAACACUCUUAACAAUGUUCCUUUUGAGCCAUCUUUGUUGCAGGGGGAAAUAAAGAGAGGCGCCAAGCUGCAGAUUCUUUCCUGAUCCCAUUGGGUCACCAGGAGAGAACAAUUUUGUUUUCCAUGGUUGCGGUUUUUCAAGUUUGCCUUUACUUAGGAUUUGAUUACCUGUCUCCCUCAACCAAUCAGCCUCUCCCACACACUCUCUUGCCUCCAAUAAUGAUCAACCCCCUUUUUAAAGACCAGCCUCCUCUGUAUCAUAUUGCAUUAAACACCUGAUGAAAGAAGACCUAGAAGCCUUUAAGAAAGACAGAGUAAUAUUUUGCUGGUGUAGAGGGCCUGCUCUUCGGAGACAAAUACUUGCUUUUCAUUUUGAUCAGCCGUCUGCACUUAAAAGCCUCCUAGCCAAGGACAUGUUAAUUAAACAGUCUGGGGCUCAGUGCUGCCAUCCGUAAAUUGGAGGAUUAGAGAAAUAAUAUACACAAGUACCUGGUACAUACCAAAUAUGAUAGAAGAUAUCUUCAACCUUUAGCUAUAAGAAGAAUGGAAAAUGAAAAAGAGACAGGUGGAGAGAGGGAGGGAGAUGAGAGCUGCGUGGAGCUGGUAUGCCGGUUAGGAGGUAGGAAAUAAUGAGGCCUCGACCAUCUAAGAUACAGAAGUCUCCCUGCUGAAUCGAAAGGAAGUGCUACAAUAUUCUUUCAAAUUCAUCGCAGUUGAGAGAAAACUGGAGCAGAGUGUGAUAUCAAGAAAGGGCUUCACCAGGAUGAUCAAUGCAAAUGGAUAUGGAGCUUUAUUGGAAUGAAACAUUAUCCCGUAACACCAGGUAUACAUACAUGAAGAGUGGCUUCAGGACUGGUAAGUUAUGUUCCUUUGAAAAAUAGCUUUACCAACUAGAGGGCAGUGCUCAUAUGCAGUUCCUUCGCCCUUUUAUCUUCUACUUUCCAAUAAUUUCCAAAGUUACUUAGGUCAACAGUUCUGUAACCUACCCUCUUCAGUGAGGUUAUGUUAUAUACUUAGCAUACAGUUAGAUCUUUUUGUCAAAGUGUGCAUUUCAUCCCAGGAUCUCUUGAUCUACUAGUUAUUUUAAAUUUGCCUAUGUUAAAUUUAUUCUCUGCUCUGUAAAGUUCUAUGAAUUUUGACAAAUACGCAGUGUCAUAUAUUCAUCACUAUGGUACUGUGUGGAAUACUCUCGCUGCCCUAAAAGAAUCUCCUGUGCUUCACCUAGUCAACUGUCUCCCUCCCCAAACCCCUUCAAAUCUCUGAUCAGUUUUCUGUCCAUGUAUUUCUGCCUUUUCCAGAAUGUCGUAUGAAUAAGAUCAUAGAUUAUGUUGCCUUUUCAGAUAGGCUUUUUUUCAUUUAGUAAUAUGCAUUUAAGAUUUAUCCACAUUGUAGCAUGGAUUAAUAACUCAUUCUACUUUAUUGCUAAGUAAUAUUAUCUGUGGAUGUGUCCGUUUGUUUAUCCAUUCACCUUCUGGAGAACUCGGUUGCUUUCAGUUUUGGGUGAUUGUAAAUAAAACUUCUAGAAACAUUCAGGUGCAGGUUUUUGUGUGGACAUAAAUUCAAGUCAAUUGGGUAAAUACCUAAAAGUGCAACUGAUGGGGGAUACGGUAAGUCUAAACUGUCUUUCAAAGUGGCUAUACCAUUUUGCAUUCUGACCAGCAGUAUGCUUCACCAGCAGUAUGGAUAUUGUCUUUUUAUUUUUUUAAGAUUUCAGUCAUUCUAAUAGGCAUGUAAUGGUAUCUUCUUGUUUUAAUUUGCAGCUCUCUAAUGACAAAUAAUGCUGAGUAUCUCUAUAUAUACUUAUUUGCUACCUGUGUAUCUUCUUUGGUGGGGAGUCUGUUCAGUUAUUUUGCCCAUUUUUAACUGGGUUGUUUAUUUUCUUAUUGUUGAUUUGUAAGAGGUUUUCUAAAGAAAUAUUUCAGAUACACAUCGUUUGUUAGAUAUGGUUGUUGCAAAUAUUUUCUCCUAGUCUGUGGCUUAUCUUUUCAUUUUCUUAACAGUGUCCUUCACAGAACAAAGGUUUUUAAUUUUUUAUUGUCUUUCUAUCCUCUUUUUGUCCAUGGUUAUAUCCUCUGCUAUACAGAACUGUUCCACUUACUGUUAGAGCAAAUUGCAUUCAUUUCUGUUGCCCUAAAUAAUUGUCCAUUGGCUGAGAGCUGUGGCUCAUGCCUGUAAUCCCAGCUACUUGGGAGGCUGAGGCAGGAGAAUCACUUGAACCCGGGAGGCAGAGAUUCAGGUGAGCUGAGAUGAUGCCACUGCACUCUACCCUGGAUGACAGAGUGAGACUCCAUCUCAAAAAAAUAAAAAAUAAUAAAUAAAUAAUUAUCCAUUAUAUUGUAUUGAAAAGAGCUGCUAUAUAUGGCAUGAUACCACUCAUUAUGUUAGUUUUCCCCAUUCUCCAUAAAAUGACCACUGUGUCUGUCACAGCUGUCACAUAGAAAUCUCUAACCAUCUAAACACCUGAGCAUGCCCAGGACUGGAGGGGAGCUAUUGCAUUCUGUAUAGAGUACAAAAAUCUUGGGCGUUGGACUCAGAGACCUCGGUUCAAAUUUUGCUCUUUACAUUUCCUGGUUGUGUGAAUGUAGAAUAGUAACUCAAGUUUUCUGAACUUUGGCCUUCUCACCUAUAAAAUGAAGACAAUAUCGUCCACAUGUCUUAGGUGCUAUUAGAAGGACACAUACAAAGUGUUUAGCGCAGGGCCUGACAUAGUGUAGCACUCAGUAAAUGUUAGUGCAUACUUGCUUUUCCCCCUUGUGUUCCACGUUUUCUUUCAGCCUCCUGAUUUUUCCCAGUGGAACUCUUUACCUUGCAUCCAUCAUUUCUAUUGUAAUGCAUUUCUAUGCCUUUUCGAGGAGCUUUUCUAUUCCAUCUACACUGAAAACGGCUCAUCCUAUUGAUAUAAUUUCCCUGCUCCCAGCCAAUGGCUGCUGCAGCACUUCCUGAUAUCUAGAUCACAAAGUCCCUGAACAGGUUAGGGUAGCACAUGUUAAAAAAAAUAUAUACCUGCAAGUUCACCUUUCUCUUACUUCUCAUUUCCAACCUAUCACCAAGCCCUGGCAAUUUGACUUCAUAAGAUAUUUUCAAUGAGCUUACUCUGAUUGAAUAUAAAAACAAUUUUUGAAUAAUUCAACCUAAAAUAAUAGAAGUAUUUUUUGCUUUUAUUAUUAUUUGUAAUUAAGUUAUAAUAAUUGUACACAUUUAUGGAGCACAGUGUGAUAUUCUGAUACAUGUAUGCAAUGUGUAAUGAUCAAAUCAGAGUAAUUAGCAUCUCCAUCACUUCAAACAUUUACCAUUUCUUUGAGUUGGGAACAUUCAAAAUCUGUUUUUCUAGGCAUUUGAAAACAUACAAGAAAUGUUGUUAAUUAUAGUCACCUACAGUGGUAUAGAAUGUUAAAAUGUAUUCCUUCCAUCUAGCUGUGCGUUGUGUUGUUAACCGACCUUUGGCUGUGCUUCCCCCCACCCCUACCUGCCUCUGGAAUCACUAUUCCACUCUCUACUUCUGUGAGAUAAACUUGGAAAGAAAUAAUACUAUUAGGAUGAUAAUUUCCCACAAAUUCAUCUAUAAAUUUAUUGCAAUUCUAAUUAAAAAUCCCAUAUGAUUUAUUAUGGACCUGUCAUACUAAAACUUGUUUGGGAGAGAAUAUGCUGGAGAAUUGCCAAGAAAUGUAUCAGAACAUUCUAUAAAGCCACAAUAACUAAGGCAAUCUGAUAUUGACAAUGUGCAUUUUAUCAAUGGAAAAUAAUAACAUAAACAUAUAUGUAUUUAUGUGGUUUGUUCAUAUAUAUGUAUUGUGUAUGCAUAGUUGUGUGUAUAUAUAGUAUUUAUAUGCAUAUAUUUAAGCAUAACAAUUCAAAUCAUCACGGAAAGGAUGGACCAUAGCAAAGGGUCUUUAUUACACAAUAGUUGUGAGCACUGGCUCUGGCACCAGACUGCUUGCUUUGAAUCUCGACUCUGUUUCCGGGAUUUGAAUCUGUCAGAGCUAUGUGACCUUAGGCAGUUUGUUUAAUUUCUUCGAGCAUGGCCUCAGCUUUCUUUUGUGCUGAAUAAGAAAAUAAUAGUACCUAACUCCAAAAGUACUUAGAAGGGUUAAAUGAAUUAAUGUAGGUAAGGAGCAUAGAAUAGGUGCUGGCACUAAGCACCAGCGAAUGUGAACCAUUCUUACUAUUAUCAUCCAUAAUAUAGAACGUAAGCAAUUGUCUGUUCGCUUUGAAAAGUAACCCUUGGCAGGGCGCGAUGGCUCAUGCCUGUAAUCCCAGCACUUUGGGAGGCUGAGGUGGGUGGCUCGCUUGAGGUCAAGAGUUCAAGACCAACAUGGCCAAUAUGAUGAAACUGCAUCUCUACUAAAAAUAUAAAAAACUGUUAGCUGGGCAUGGUGGCAGAUGCCUAUAGUCCCAGCUACUCCGGAAGCACAAAAAGUGCUUGAACCCGGAAGGCGGAAGUCACAGUGAGCAAGAGAGAGCCACUGCCUCCCAGGGCGAGAGAGGAAGACUCCGUAUCAAAAAAAAAAAAAAAAAAGUAAACCUUUAGUGACCAGUUUAGAGCCCUACACUGACAGGUGCCUAUCCAGUUGCUGAUUUCUUGUGAUGUGGAUUUAUUUUUACUUCAUAAAAUAAAGAGGCAACCUUACACUUUGUUAUUAAAAUAGUAAGUGGUAAGGAACCCUUUAAGGGAUAUGGUUUUAACAUAUUAUUCAAAAUAGGAAUUGCAAACUCCAUUGCUUAGAGAGGUCAGCAAGUAAAUCAAAGUACUAGACUGGGUAGAGCGUGUGGUGAAAUGAAGGCCUUCUAGACGCUUAAGAAGACAACCAGUUUUCAACACCACCCAAUUAUUGCCAGGCAGAAACAUGUGUGCACAUUUUUUAAGAUUUUUAUUUUCAUGCAAUAUUUUGUGGCUUCUAAAUGUUGACAACAAAUUCAAAGUUUGAAGCAUUGUGUGGAUCAAACAAAAUAGAUGUCUAGAGAUCAGAGUUGGUUCAUAUUGUUUGUUGCAAUCUGAGACUUAGAACCUCCUUUAGAUUACACUACUCAGUCUUUGUCCCAACCUGUGUACCCCAAUUGUACCUUGCACAGUGCUGCCCAGGUGAUAAGGGCUCAAUGCUUGUUUUUUGUUGAAUUAACUUGAUUUUAAUUCUGAAUCUUUCUGAUUCCAAUCAAUGCUUUGAAUUAAUAAUACUAGCUCCAGGCCAGGCACGGUGGCUCAUGCUUGUAAUCCCAGCACUUUAGGAGGUUUAGGUGGGUGGAUAGCUUGAGCCCAGAAAUUGAGACCAGCCUUGGCAACACAGAGAGACCCCAUCUCUACAAAACAAAACAAAACAAAACAAAACAAAACAAAACA